rnacentral:rRNA from 1 species
CAGCAGCCGCGGUAAUACAGAGGGUGCGAGCGUUAAUCGGAUUUACUGGGCGUAAAGCGUGCGUAGGCGGCUUUUUAAGUCGGAUGUGAAAUCCCUGAGCUUAACUUAGGAAUUGCAUUCGAUACUGGGAAGCUAGAGUAUGGGAGAGGAUGGUAGAAUUCCAGGUGUAGCUGUGAAAUGCGUAGAGAUCUGGAGGAAUACCGAUGGCGAAGGCAGCCAUCUGGCCUAAUACUGACGCUGAGGUACGAAAGCAUGGGGAGCAAACAGGAUUAGAUACCCCCGUAGUCCCUGUCUCUUAUAC